ACGGGUGAGUAACGCGUAUCCAACCUUCCCCAUACUAGAGGAUAGCCCGGCGAAAGUCGGAUUAAUACUCUAUGUUAUUCGAAGCGGACAUCUAAUUUGAAUCAAAGGUUCACCGGUAUGGGAUGGGGAUGCGUCUGAUUAGGUUGUUGGCGGGGUAACGGCCCACCAAGCCUGCGAUCAGUAGGGGUUCUGAGAGGAAGGUCCCCCACAUUGGUACUGAGACACGGACCAAACUCCUACGGGAGGCAGCAGUGAGGAAUAUUGGUCAAUGGGCGAGAGCCUGAACCAGCCAAGUAGCGUGCAGGAUGACGGCCCUAUGGGUUGUAAACUGCUUUUGUACGGGAAUAAAGUCAGGGACGUGUCCCUGUUUGUAUGUACCGUAAGAAUAAGGACCGGCUAAUUCCGUGCCAGCAGCCGCGGUAAUACGGAAGGUCCGGGCGUUAUCCGGAUUUAUUGGGUUUAAAGGGAGCGCAGGCUGCCUGUUAAGCGUGACGUGAAAUGCCGCGGCUCAACCGUGGAAGUGCGUCGCGAACUGGCGGGCUUGAGUGUGCACGAGGAAGGCGGAAUUCGUGGUGUAGCGGUGAAAUGCUUAGAUAUCACGAAGAACUCCGAUUGCGAAGGCAGCCUUCCAGGGCAUUACUGACGCUAAGGCUCGAAGGUGCGGGUAUCGAACAGGAUUAGAUACCCUGGUAGUCCGCACGGUAAACGAUGGAUGCCCGCUGUUUGCGAUAUACUGUGAGCGGCCAAGCGAAAGCGUUAAGCAUCCCACCUGGGGAGUACGCCGGCAACGGUGAAACUCAAAGGAAUUGACGG
rnacentral:rRNA from 1 species